rnacentral:rRNA from 1 species
CACGUAGGGUGCGAGCGUUGUCCGGAAUUAUUGGGCGUAAAGAGCUCGUAGGCGGUGUGUCGCGUCGGCCGUGAAAACCUGCAGCUUAACUGUGGGCUUGCGGUCGAUACGGGCAUCACUGGAGUUCGGCAGGGGAGACUGGAAUUCCUGGUGUAGCGGUGAAAUUCGUAGAUAUUAGGAAGAACACCAGUGGCGAAGGCGGCUCACUGGCUGAACACUGACGCUAAAGCGCGAAAGCGUGGGGAGCAAACAGG